rfam:Pan troglodytes isolate Yerkes chimp pedigree #C0471 (Clint) chromosome 17, whole genome shotgun sequence.
GCUGGGUGUGGUGGUGGGCAUCUGUAAUCCCAGCUACUUUGGAGGCUGAGGCAGGAGAAUUGCUUGAACCCAGGAGGCGGAGGUUGCAGUGAGCCGAGAUUGUGCCACUGCACUCCAGCCUGGGUGACAGAGUGAGACUCUGUCUCAA